rnacentral:lncRNA from 1 species
GGACCAUGUGUAGACAACACAUAAAAAUAUGAAAUAAUUAAUACUAAAUGGGGAAUAUCUAAGCUCUAUUUACAAAAAAAAACAUUGUUGGAAUAUUAAGUAGUUAAAUAACAAACUUACGGUGUGUGAAGACUCAAGUCGGCAGGGAGACGAGGAAAAAUAAUUCUUUUCAGAUCAUCUGAUCGACGCGCCACCAUACGGCAUAGGACGACCAUGUCCUUGACCAUUCCUCUCAACCAUAGCCUUCUCUAUUAAGAAAGCCGAAAGGUUGGAGCUUUUUUUUGAAGCAAAUUUUGCUUCCCUACCUCCAAUUUUGCCCAUCCUUCAAGUGUACCCACGGGAGCCGUUUUAUCGCCUAGUGGCGAUUUUAAAAAGUUAACUUUUCGAUCGAUAUGAAUUCAUUCCUUCUGAAAUGAAUGAGGCAUCCCUCAAUUACACAUGUUAUGCCCAUUCUCGCCGAGCCGGAGACAAAAAAACUUUAUUGUACGGCUUCACGCGUUGAAUGGCUGCGAAUGAACAUAUGCAAUAAACAGGAAUGCAUGCCGUUCCGUGUAACAUCGUCAUUAAAAUCCCUCACGGCAAAAUAUAAAUGGGGCGUUCAUAAAUUACCGCUCAUAAAUCCGGGUGAUUCUCCCCCUCCCCCCUACAUCAUUUUUAUCACCAGAUGGCUCCCGUGGGUACCCUUGGAGGAAGGGAAUGGGAGGAAAGGUGAGCAAAAUGUGCUUCACUUUUCCAACAUGCAAGGGAUAGCGUUCCUUUCGGCUUUCUCUAAUAGAGAAGGCUAUGUCUCAACGCUAUCCCAGUUCGUAGUCUUUACCCUCUUAGUCUGUGGUAGUACCAAGAUCAAUUUUCUUCAUCCCUAGUAAGGUCCAGAUUGUGGACUGCUAGAUCUAUUAUGGAAACAGAAGUGGGGCAAGAAAGAAAUGUUCUGUCAACAAGGUUAUAAUCUACCCACCACGUGUUACACACCACAUUGUUUCCUGUUGUAUCUUGUUCAGUUCGUUAGAUCUAGACGAUUGGGAUGUGACGCUAUUGAUCAUUUAAAAAUUUGUUUCUGCUGAAAUUACAUUUUAAAGAUGAUUGUGGGAAUUGGGUUUCCACUUCACAAUGGCUGCCGGCAAAUAUUUAUUCAGAUGAGUAAUUACGAAGUGUUCCCAUUUAUGCUAUAAAUUUUACCAUUUUUGUUUAGGUAUCUGCAUCUUUGGUUCAACAAAAGUUCAUUUAGAAAGCUUUACAGUAGAGAAAUUCAAACUGUAAGUCAAACAAAGCCAGUAAUGGACUUGUAUUAAUAGAAUAACAAAUGUGCUGUGUUAACGUACGUUCUGUGUACUGUACGUAGCCGUAAUGACGGGUAAUGAUUCACCAAAUCGGUAAAGCCGAAAAUGUUAGUUGACCACCUUAAUGUGGCAGCAAAUGCAUGUAAAUAGCCAAGUAUUUUUUUCCUCCUGCUUGAAGAUCCAUUCAAGCUCAAAACUUCUAGAUAAAAGCCAAUUACUGACACAUGUUGUAAAGGUUAAAGGCUUAAAGCGACUGUGUUUGAUGGAAUUGUAAAAAAUGGACUGAUCAUACAUCCUUGGGAGAGAGAUAACCAAAUUGAUUAUCUCUGCCUUUGGAUUAGAAAACAACUUAUCUGCUGUGAUACUUCUUGAAAUUAGGGGUUAUUGAAGGCCUAAUGCAUAUAGGUAUGUAUACUUUUUCUCUCAUUUCAUUUGCUUAAUGAAUGACCUCAGUUAGGGGUUACCGCUUGAUUCGGCAUGUCAAAUUGGCUUACCUCCACCUCCACGCCUUGAUUUACAUCCGUUGGGAAGUCUGCUCUAACAGAACGAUGUAAGCAGUGGCAUCUGGCAUGUGAUAAUUAAUAGUGAAUCUGACGAAAUGGGCUUUUUCUCCACAAAAGACUCUGAAGACAGUUGCACAACAAGCGUAGGAUUUUGUUGCACACCAUGUGGCCGUAGAAUGGCGAGGCACAAGAACCGGCCAGCAGACCAUUGAUACUUUUUAGUUUCUCGUAAAUUGGCAAUAAGAUUGCCCCAACAGCAUUUCCACUAUUCACCUACUGCAGCCAGCCCAGGAUCAUAAAGGAUGUUUAAUGUCUUUUACAGAUUGUGCAGAGGCUGCCCAGAGUUAUGGACCCCUGGGUCUAUGACUCUGGUUAGAUUUGAAAUUUUUGAUUUCAUGGCGCCAUGAAAUCGUGCGCCACUAUCGAUACUCAUUAUCUUGGCGUACUACGUAGUUAGUAAAUCAACCUGUACUUUCGGAGCUGUUAACGAUCUCUUUAACAAUUCUUUAUACCGGCUUCUCUUUGCAACUAGGAAAAUUUUGUUUACAAUUUAAAGGAGAGUGUAGCUCAUUCUUUAGAUUAAAAAGAAAAAAUUAAUUUCUGAUUUUUCUUCCGGUUUUAAAAUGCCAAAUGACUCUUUAUUUCUUAGUCUCUCCGAAAAAAGAUUCUCAUUUUCGUGAUCCUCGUCAAAUAUGUGGUUGACUCCAUGGAUCAACUCAAAAUACCCGAAAAUCGUCAAAAAUCGCAAAUUUUCCUGAACGUUCAUGAAAAAUCACGAUUUUGGUCAAAUCCGGCUUUUGGCCAUAAACUUGUCAUUCUUACCCCAAAUCUAAUAAGGAUCAUGAAAAUCUGACUCGUUUGGUUAUGAGGUCACUAUUUCCGGAGAUAUUGGCCACUUUCGGUUACUUCCGGAAAUUUGUAGUGACAAAUUAAAAAAAGUAAAAAAUAAGCUGUAUCAUUCUAACAAUCACAAAUAUUUUUCUUGCAUGUGUUAGGGUGUUGCAGCUAUUAUUCCAUAUUUUUCUUGCUAUCAACAGUACUGGAUGACCCUAAGAGCAACGGCAGUUUUAGCUACAGAUUUUUAGUGUCUCGUCUUGGAACUAGUAGUUGAUAUUCUAGUUUUUAUGUUUAAAAUUUGAAUUAAACAAUUUGAGAUUAGUAAAGUCCAAGCAUUUAAAAGCAAGAAUUGCACUGAUUUUAAAGGUAAAUCUAUUUUCUUUGGGUUGAACUAGAUGGCGUUAUUGUGCGUAUAUGAUAAAAAAUGCGAAUGACAAGUUAAAUGGGUGUUCAAAGUAAAAACUAAAACUGUUCGUGAUUUGGUACAAAGUCCUUAUUGAAUACGUAUUAAAACCAAUUUAAACACGAGCAGUUAGACUUUCAUUGCAGACUAAUGGGUCUCAGAUCAAUCCACCAGGUGCUGCUGAAACCUGUUGUUUUGAGAGCUGUCACAGAGUCGUUUUAUGUUAAGGUAAGGUAAGGUAAGUUACAAAAUUCAACCCUAUUAAUUAGUGAUUAACGGAACUCCAUUCAACCAACUGUUUUAUUGACAAACACUUUUCUCAGGUUUACUAGUUUUUUCCAUAACUUAAUGGUGAUGUUUCACUGCAAUCUAGUGGCAAUUACUUUCCCCUCAAAAAGCAAAAUAAGCCUGACUUUUUAAGCCCGACUUUAACUAGGGGCCCUCACACCGUUCGGGAAGUUCCCGAUAGGGUUGGGCUGUAGUUGUUCUUGAAUAGCGACAACCCUAUAUGCUCUGAUUACACUCAACGGCUCCCGCUGUUCGCGAAGUUUUCGAUAGCGUUGGAGAAAAAAGAAUCACAUUGUAUAAUAAAAACUGACUGCUAAUUUCGAUUAAGUAAAUGGUUUCCUUGUUAAAUUAGCCGAUUUUAAAAUAAACGAAAAUAAAGUUA